UACGGAGGGAGCUAGCGUUGUUCGGAAUUACUGGGCGUAAAGCGCACGUAGGCGGCUUUUUAAGUCAGGGUGAAAUCCGGGGCUCAACCCCGGAACUGCCCUUGAAACUGGAGAGCUAGAAUCUUGGAGAGGCGAGUGGAAUUCCGAGUGUAGAGGUGAAAUUCGUAGAUAUUCGGAAGAACACCAGUGGCGAAGGCGACUCGCUGGACAAGUAUUGACGCUGAGGUGCGAAAGCGUGGGGAGCAAACAGG
rnacentral:rRNA from 1 species